CACCCGAUGGCUGAAAAAGUGUAGGUCUUUUAAACCUAUUAUGGUACUUGUACCUCAGGUGA
rnacentral:tRNA from 1 species